AGACCCGAAACCCGGUGAUCUAGCCAUGGGCAGGUUGAAGGUUGGGUAACACUAACUGGAGGACCGAACCGACUAAUGUUGAAAAAUUAGCGGAUGACCUGUGGCUGGGGGUGAAAGGCCAAUCAAACCGGGAGAUAGCUGGUUCUCCCCGAAAGCUAUUUAGGUAGCGCCUCGUGAAUUCAUCUCCGGGGGUAGAGCACUGUUUCGGCUAGGGGGCCAUCCCGGCUUACCAACCCGAUGCAAACUGCGAAUACCGGAGAAUGUUAUCACGGGAGACACACGGCGGGUGCUAACGUCCGUCGUGAAGAGGGAAACAACCCAGACCGCCAGCUAAGGUCCCAAAGUCAUGGUUAAGUGGGAAACGAUGUGGGAAGGCCCAGACAGCCAGGAUGUUGGCUUAGAAGCAGCCAUCAUUUAAAGAAAGCGUAAUAGCUCACUGGUCGAGUCGGCCUGCGCGGAAGAUGUAACGGGGCUAAACCAUGCACCGAAGCUGCGGCAGCGAACGUAUCACUUAAAGCGAUUCAGCGGGUUACGAUUGACGGAGCGAAGCGACGUCAAAGCGUAUACAAAGUCGAGUCGGUUUAAGGAUACGUUCGUUGGGUAGGGGAGCGUUCUGUAAGCCUGUGAAGGUGGCCUGUGAGGGUUGCUGGAGGUAUCAGAAGUGCGAAUGCUGACAUAAGUAACGAUAAAGCGGGUGAAAAGCCCGCUCGCCGGAAGACCAAGGGUUCCUGUCCAACGUUAAUCGGGGCAGGGUGAGUCGACCCCUAAGGCGAGGCCGAAAGGCGUAGUCGAUGGGAAACGGGUUAAUAUUCCCGUACUUGGUGUUACUGCGAAGGGGGGACGGAGAAGGCUAUGUUGGCCGGGCGACGGUUGUCCCGGUUUAAGCGUGUAGGUGUGUGUUCCAGGUAAAUCCGGUUCACUUUAACACUGAGGCGUGAUGACGAGGCACUACGGUGCUGAAGCAACAAAUGCCCUGCUUCCAGGAAAAGCCUCUAAGCAUCAGGUAACACGAAAUCGUACCCCAAACCGACACAGGUGGUCA
rnacentral:rRNA from 1 species